GGCUCAGAUUGAACGCUGGCGGCAUGCCUUACACAUGCAAGUCGAACGGCAGCACGGGAGCAAUCCUGGUGGCGAGUGGCGAACGGGUGAGUAAUAUAUCGGAACGUGACCCAGUCGGUGGGGGAUAACGUAGCGAAAGCUACGCUAAUACCGCAUACGAUCUACGGAUGAAAGCGGGGGAUCGCAAGACCUCGCGCGAUUGGAGCGGCCGAUAUCAGAUUAGCUAGUUGGUGGGGUAAAAGCCCACCAAGGCGACGAUCUGUAGCUGGUCUGAGAGGACGACCAGCCACACUGGAACUGAGACACGGUCCAGACUCCUACGGGAGGCAGCAGUGGGGAAUUUUGGACAAUGGGCGAAAGCCUGAUCCAGCAAUGCCGCGUGCAGGACGAAGGCCUUCGGGUUGUAAACUGCUUUUGUACGGAACGAAACGGUCUCUUUUAAUACAAGAGGCUAAUGACGGUACCGUAAGAAUAAGCACCGGCUAACUACGUG
rnacentral:rRNA from 1 species